GAAACAUACUAAUUUUAUUAAUUCACUUGGUUUGUGCUAAGAAUGAUGUUUCCAAAUGAUGUUCUGAAUAAUAGUAAUCUUUUGAUAUAUUCACAAUGAAUGAGUAUUUAAAAUAAAAACUCCCGAAUUGUUUAAGGGGGAGUGUUAUGUUGGCAACUCUCAAAUACUGUAAUAUAAUGUUAGAGUUGGCAACAUCAUAGUAAACAAUUUAAGAACUAGGUUAUUUCUUGUUACCUAAGUGAUGUUUACUGUUAUGUUUAACUACAGUUACGUGUGUAACAACAGUAUCUUUAUAUUGUUAUGCUUUACUAUGGUUAUAAGUUUGUGUGUAUUUAAAGCGUACUUCUGUAUCAAAUUUCUGUGUCUUAAUAAAGCAGGAGUAGAGUGAACCCCGAUUUUUGCUUAUCAUUCGAUCUACGGGAUAAACGGAAAUACAGAAUGUGCACAGGGAUCUCUCUUGUUGUGUGGAAACAGACAUGACAUGACGUUCUCCUGCAGUUAUGUUAAUUCAGCAUUGGAAGCUCAUGAUUAGUAGAGUGUAAUCACUGAAAGGGAUAAACAGCUUAUACACACAAUUCAGCAGCAUCAUAUGCUUUUUGCUGUGUUAUCUGUGCUCUUCUGCCAUUACAUAACUCUACCUCAUAUGUUGCCACACGUUGGCUGUUGCUGCAUCACCAGAACUGAUCCUGCUCCAUGGUCCUGGAGUAUGUUUUCCAUUUUGUGUCUUCACCAUAUAAAGUAGUGCACAGCGCACGAAUGGAUUUGCAAGUUGCAGUUGUCCUCAGAAAAGUGUGAAGUCGCCAUCAGGACAUAUGGUUGAAGUUUUCUUCUCUGCAAGCCCAGUCAUGUGAUUGGAAUUACGCUCUCCUCCUCAAUGAGAGGAGGCGUUGGUCUAUCUGAGUAGGCGCCACAGUUGCUGCUCCAUAAUUUUUCACUUACCCUCACUCACACAUUGACCGGCCCCAACACCCACCGCACUGCAUCACUCGAUGGUGGUCCAGACGUCGUCCAGACUCUAGAAGAAACUGGGAGUGUGGAAGGUGGUUAUGGCUGUGAGCAGUUUCUGUUUCAUGAAGCCCCAGCACCCACCGCACUGCAUCACUUGAUGGUGAUCCAGGUGUCGUCAAGACUCUAGAAGAAACUGGGACUGUGGAAGGUGGUUAUUUCUGUGAGCGUUUUCUGUUUCAUGAAGCCCCAACACCCACCACACUGCAUCACUCGAUGGUGGUCCAGAAGUCGGCAAGACUCCAGAAGAAACUGGGAGUGGGGAAGGUGGUUAUGGCUGUGAGCAGUUUCUGUUUCAUGAAGCCCCAAUACCCACCACACUGCAUCACUCAAUGGUGGUCCAGACGUCAUGAAGUCUCUAGAAGAAACUGGGAAUGUGGAAGGUGGGUAUGAAUGUGAGCAUUUUGUUUGUUUAAUUUUAUUUUUCUCAUUAAUGGUGUGCAGGGUAUAAACCUACAUAACAAACAGUCUUUAAAACAACUUUUUGAAUAUAUUUAUUUUUAAAAAGAGAAACGAGAGAAAACCGCAGGUAACAUGUACAGGGGAUUCCGCAGUGGAACUGACCAACUUUGCCAGCAAUUUCGGGAGCAUAUUCUAAGCAAGAAAUCUUAUGUAAACCAUGGGUUGAUUUGGCUUCAUUAUCGCAAUAUGAACGGAAUGAAUAUUCCUCUUAAUUAUGGUAUUGUUAUUAUUAUUAUUAUUUAUUACACGAAUGAUUAAUUUCUUGCUGAGUAAUGUUGCCAAAGAAUACAGUACAUGUAAACCAUGUCAAGUUGUUACUUUUGCAUGUUGUAUUGAGCGCAUUUUUCAGCUGUAACUGGGAACGAUAUUAAAGCAAAUUCAAGGAAGCCUAAUGAAAGUGAUGCUCCCAGUGUGGGUGCUUAAUAGGAACUGGAUCCCAAAAUCGUUUCUGCUUCUACCAGAUUCCAGAGUCGGUUCUUUCAGAUCACUGAACUACUCUUCAUAGAAGUGUCAGUCUAAUAAUGUUCUCCUUGUGUUGAAAGAAGAGGCAAAGUUGUCACUGGACUUAAUGAAGCAGCAUGCUGUGAAGACAUAUGGGGGAGUGGAGAUAUAGCUCCAUAGUUUUUUACCUUGCCAGUAGAUGGAGUUGAGUGGUCAG